UUUGCCUACGGGGCGCAGCAGUAGGGAAUCUUCCACAAUGGGCGAAAGCCUGAUGGAGCAACGCCGCGUGGGUGAAGAAGGUCUUCGGAUCGUAAAACCCUGUUGUUAGAGAGGAAAGCGCGUGAGAGUAACUGUUCACAUUUCGACGGUAUCUAACCAGAAAGCCACAGCUAACUACGUGCCAGCAGCCGCGGUAAUACGUAGGUGGCAAGCGUUAUCCGGAUUUAUUGGGCGUAAAGGGAACGCAGGCGGUCUUUUAAGUCUGAUGUGCAAGCCUUCGGCUUAACCGGAGUAGUGCAUUGGAA
rnacentral:rRNA from 1 species